GAAAAUAAGAAAGGGGUGAGGCCUAAGGGACAAUCAGGAUGUUUUUCAGAGAGAAGUGUGGAUGCUGGACAGGAAGAACCACAGAUACCAGAUACGGGACAUACUUUAUUCAGCUGGGUGCUGAAAAAGAAUCUUGGAAAUUAGGAAACUGAAUGAGGCCUCAUUUCACACUCAGAAUGUGGGUUGCAAUAGUCACUUCCUCUGCUGCUGGGAAAGAAAGAAUUAUACUACCUUUUGAAUUUUGGAUUAAGGAGAGAGGUGUUGGCUUGUCAAACUACCAUGUAUUCCUCAAGACAUAUUUUUGUGGCUUUAUAAAAUUCAAUAUAUAUGUCUAAAUUCAAAAAUAUUUUGUUGCAAUCUGGCCCUUGGACAAACUGAGGCCCUAGCAACUGAUGUUUAUGGCUUUCCGUAGAACCUUUCAGAUAAAAUUUACACAGCAUUUUACUGCAGCUAUUUCACACAAAGCAGAGGAUUUUGCCACAAAACUGAAAGAAAAAAGAAACUGCAUUCUUAAAUUUUUCAUAAAUCAAAAGGUAUAAAAAUAUCUACCUAAACGAUAAAGGAGAUGAGAAACCCCACCCAUGAUGGGAAGAAAGCCUAUUUCAGUUUUGCCUUUACUUCAAGUUCUUUUUUCCAUAUCUGGAAUGCAAUCAGAAUUUUAAUCUUGCCUUGGGUUCCUCCUGGAUUUGGGGAGAAGACAAAACCUGAAAAUCUCUAAUCUGCAUGUGUUCAGCUGCGUAUCUUCUGGAUACGGAAGGAUCACACUGCACAGAGUGCUGGACUUGCAGGAGCCCCGCUUCUCAACCUCCAUCGCUUUAUGAAUGAAUUCACCAGAAAGAAAAGGAAGAAUCAACACUUUCAGAGAUGGAGCCUGUUGAGCCACAGUACCAACUAGUCAAUGCUGAAUCGACUUCUCCCUUUCUACAUUGCCUGAGAGAAGUCAUUGGGGAAUACUCUGUACACGAAUUUUCACUGUUGGGGAAAACAGUUUCCUCAUCUUCUCCACAAGUUUCUACAUAUCGAAUGCAGAGCAGCCCUUCUUCAAAGGACCUCCUACGGAAGCUGCUAAGGAACUCAGUCUGUAGCUCUGCGUGGAGCCAUGUGUAAACACUGAACUGAGACCUGCCACCUCCUACUACCUAAGGGCCCAUUUUCAUCUGAUAUCAUCCCCCAGAAACAAACUCAUGAUGACUUCCAUGUUUUUUUUAGAUUAGAUACAUGGAGAAUUUUCCUUUCCCUUAGAAUUAAAAUCCUGCAUUCUAA
rnacentral:lncRNA from 1 species